GAUGAACGCUGGCGGCGUGCUUAACACAUGCAAGUCGAACGGAAAGGCCCAAGCUUGCUUGGGUACUCGAGUGGCGAACGGGUGAGUAACACGUGGGUGAUCUGCCCUGCACUUCGGGAUAAGCCUGGGAAACUGGGUCUAAUACCGGAUAGGACCACUUCUUGGAUGUUGUGGUGGAAAGUUUUUUCGGUGUGGGAUGAGCUCGCGGCCUAUCAGCUUGUUGGUGGGGUAAUGGCCUACCAAGGCGUCGACGGGUAGCCGGCCUGAGAGGGUGUACGGCCACAUUGGGACUGAGAUACGGCCCAGACUCCUACGGGAGGCAGCAGUGGGGAAUAUUGCACAAUGGGCGCAAGCCUGAUGCAGCGACGCCGCGUGGGGGAUGACGGCCUUCGGGUUGAAAACUCCUUUCGCUAGGGACGAAGCGUUUUGUGACGGUACCUGGAGAAGAAGCACCGGCUAACUACGUG
rnacentral:rRNA from 1 species